GACAGAGGAGCCAAGCGUUGUCCGGAUUGACUGGGCGUAAAGCGCACGCAGGCGGUCGCGCGCGUGGGGUGUGAAAUCUGGCCGCUUAACGGCCAGGCGCCAUCCCAUACGGCGCGACUGGAGUGAUGCAGAGGUCGAUGGAAUUGCCGGUGUAGUGGUGAAAUGCGUAGAGAUCGGCAGGAACACCCAGGGGGAAACCAGUCGACUGGGCAUCUACUGACGCUGAGGUGCGAGAGCGUGGGGAGCGAACAGG
rnacentral:rRNA from 1 species